CUCGUCUCGCUACGAUCUGAUCACAACUGAAUUUACAUAUUUGCCUCAAUCAAUGUUGGUAUUAAAUUACAAUGAAUCACUAUGACGUAUUUUAAGCAAUACUAUAUACAUAUUUGUACAUUAAGUAGCAGAAGCAACUGCUGUGCGGAAAACUGGCGGCACUGCGCUGGGAACUUACAACAAUGUUUAUUCAUAAACCUGGUCUUUCACCGUCACGUGCGUAUUGUAUUUUUGCCCAACUAACCAAUAGCAAUGCUUUAGGAAAGUUACCUAUCCAUGACUCGAACAAUAGGGUAAAUUGGAAAUUGCUAUUGGUGGAUUUGGCAAAAAUACAAUACACACGUGACGGUGAAGGAGCAGAUUUAUGAAUAAAGGUUGACUAACAUAGAUAAUGAGUUAUAUUGUUAUUAUAAUGAGUUUCCAAACCAUCUCUUCUAUUAACUAUGGUU